UCCUCUUCUUAGCAAUGGACUUCUAUCUGAAUCCAGCCAAGCUCUUGCCAGAGGAAUGAAAGAAGGAGAGGAUUAAGAGUUCUGAUUGCAAAUGGAGGGAAAUAAAUGUCAAGAUAAAUAAAAUUAAUGUGCUUUGGCAAAUAAAGGAAGCUGGAAAUACCAAAGAGAGAUGAAAUGUUGCUCCCUCCCCCAAACACACAGACUAAAGUCAACCAUGUUUGGCAAUUCUUGCUUCUUCCAGGAAGCAGUCCCUGAAAAUUCUCACAAAACAUCUCAUUCAUUAUUGUAUUUGAAUAAUAAAGUGGCACAUUUUGUAGUGUU